UGGGCAGCAAGUGUAAAUGAAACUACAGCAGCUCAGUGCUGUGGGAUUUUAGAGCACGUUUGUCACUGACCAGGCUUUUUGAGAUCGUUAUCAUUUCUCUGAAGAGAAUACUCUUUGGUGGAACAUUUCUUGCAAUGGAAUAUAUUUACCAUGCAAGUAUAACAAGGUGGUAUAAGUUCCACCAGGAGCUUUCUGUCUGCCAAAGAGGGUUAAUUACUACUUUGUGAAACUUGGUACUGAGUCUCGGAGUUCUAGUAAUAUGAACCAAGGUUUGGGAACCUCAAUAACCAGAUGAAUUAGACAAGUCAUCAAGAGUUAAAACAAGUUUAUGGAAACUACCAAGAA
rnacentral:lncRNA from 1 species